rnacentral:rRNA from 1 species
CCGAAUACAUUAGCAUGGGAUAAUGGAAUAGGACCCUGUCCUCCUAUUUUCAGUUGGUUUUGGCAGCGCGAGGACUAGGGUAAUGAUUAAUAGGGAUAGUUGGGGGCAUUAAUAUUUAAUUGUCAGAGGUGAAAUUCUUGGAUUUAUGAAAGAUUAACUUCUGCGAAAGCAUCUGCCAAGGAUGUUUUCAUUAAUCAAGAACGAAAGUUAGGGGAUCGAAGACGAUCAGAUACCGUCGUAGUCUUAACCAUAAACGAUGCCGACCAGCGAUUAGGAGACGUUGAAUACAAAACACCACCAUCGGCGCGGUCGUCCUUGGCGUUCGUGUUCACGCACGAGCGCGAGGGCGGUUUAGCCCGGUGGCACCGGUGAAUGACUCCU